rnacentral:rRNA from 1 species
GGGUCAGUAGGUCGGUCGUGCCACCGGUACGUACUGGUCUCACUGAUUCCUCCUUCCUGAAGAACCGUAAUGCCAUUAAUUUGGUGUUGCGGGGAAACAGGACUGUUACUUUGAGAAAAUUAGAGUGUUUAAAGCAAGCUAACGCUUGAAUACAUUAGCAUGGAAUAAUGAAAUAGGACGAUCGAUCCUAUUUUGUUGGUUUCUAGGAUUGACAUA